GGCCUACCAUGGUGGUAACGGGUAACGGGGUGUUAGGGCACGACACCGGAGAGGGAGCCUGAGAAACGGCUACCACAUCCAAGGAUGGCAGCAGGCGCGCAAAUUACCCAAUCCCGACACGGGGAGGUAGUGACAAUAAAUAACAAUACGGGGUUCUUUUGGAUCUCGUAAUUGGAAUGAGUACAAUUUAAAUCUCUUAACGAGAACCAAUUGGAGGGCAAGUCUGGUGCCAGCAGCCGCGGUAAUUCCAGCUCCAAUAGCGUAUAUUAAAGUUGUUGCAGUUAAAAAGCUCGUAGUUGAAUUUCGGGAUUAGUAGGUUGGUCGUGCCUCUGGUAUGUACUGGCUUUACUGGUUCCUCCUUCUUGAAGAACUGUAAUGUCAUUAAUUUGGUGUUGCAGGGAAACAGGACUGUUACUUUGAAAAAAUUAGAGUGUUUAAAGCAGGCUAACGCUUGAAUACAUUAGCAUGGAAUAAUGAAAUAGGACGUUUGAUCCUAUUUUGUUGGUUUCUAGGAUUGACGUAAUGAUUAAUAGGGAUAGUUGGGGGCAUUAGUAUUCAAUUGUCAGAGGUGAAAUUCUUGGAUUUAUUGAAGACUAACUACUGCGAAAGCAUUUGCCAAGGAUGUUUUCAUUAAUCAAGAACGAAAGUUAGGGGAUCGAAGACGAUCAGAUACCGUCGUAGUCUUAACCAUAAACUAUGCCGACUAGGGAUCGGAUGAUGUUAAUUUUUUAAUGACUCAUUCGGCGCCUUACG
rnacentral:rRNA from 1 species